GGGGCCGGGGCCGCCGCCGCUCUCGUCAGGCUCCGUCCCGUCCCGCCCGCCGCCAUGCGCCACAGCCUCACCCAGCUGCUGGCCGCCUCCUCCGGCGGAGCGAGCCCCUCCGGCGCCGUCUGGCCCCUGGCCGGUGCGGGGCAGGCCCCGAGAGGGCGGGAUGGUGGCGGGGAAGGGGACCCGGGCCCCGCGCGGCCCAAACAACAACAGCCGGCGCGGAGGGAGGAGAAGGAGCCCGAGGCACCCGGAGGGCCGCUGGAGGUGUGGGAACAAGAGGACUGGUUUCCGGGCUUGGAGCUGGGAGACCUGCUGGAGGCCGCACGGCCGGACUGGGACCUGGACGCGGAGCUGAGCGGCUGCUUCUGUGGGGAACCGGAGCCGCUGCCCCCGCCAGGCCCGGGCCAGCGGCCGGCGGCGGUCGGGCGGAGGAAUGGCGGGGCUGGGAGCCGGCUGAAGGCGGCGGCGGCGGCGCGGCUGAACCGGCUGAAGAAGAAGCAAUACGUGCUUGGGCUGGAGAGCCGCCUUCAAGGCCUGGCUGCUGAGAACCGGCAGCUGCGGGACCGCAACCGCGGCCUGAGCCGCCGCCUGCGAGAGCUGGAGAGGGAGAGCAGCUACCUGCGGGCCGUGCUGGCUAACCAGAGCGCCCUGGGGCAGCUCCUGAGCCGCUUAGCCGGGAUCCGUGCCGGCGGGCUGCAGCUCAGCACCAGCCUCUUCAGGGACACGGGCAGCCCGCGCCGCCAUCACCACCACCUCCAGCCUGCCGGCGAGAGCAGCGACCACGACUACGCCCUGCCCAGCUCCCGGCCUGCCAGCCUGGAGGAGUCGGCGGUGGUAACGGAGACGGAGGAGGAGUGGGCAUCCCCCGGCGGGAUAUGCCUCCACGUGGACCGGGAUCAGGUGUCGGUGGAGUUCUGCUCCAUCUGUGCUCGACGGGCAGCGGCCUCCUUCAAAAUGUAGGGUCAAGUACCUGCUGCAAGUACUCGUGGGGUGCUCCCCCCUAAUAGGGGCCUCGCGUCGCGGCGGAGGAAGCAGGCGAUGUUUCUCUUUUAGGUGCUUGCCCUGCCAGGCUCCGUUGUGUAGGGGUUAAAGAACAGUCGUUUUCCACCUCGCAACCUGUGGAUUCAGCUGUGUUGGGGCAGAAGAGACGGGACCAGCUGCUGGCCACAUUUCCUGCUUUAUUUUAAAAGGUAGUAUAAGAAAUGAGAAUAAAGAGGUAACAGGGCUUUUGCUGUCUUUGGUUAAACAAAAACAAACAAGGUUGAAUGCUGGGAUCAGUUACUGCCAUCCAAGAUGUUUUCUGUAAAAGCCAAUAUGCUAUCAAACAGGUUUUACCCCACUGUGUGCAGAAUUCCAUCUGGUCAGUGUGUACUGCCAGCACAAAAGAGACUUAGUGAGAUACAUGUUCCCUUAUACCUCAGUGGUGGCAUCAGUGGGACUGUCCAAUCAGUCCUGAAUUGUAUAAUCCUGUUGUAAUGGAUGGGUUACACCAGUGCCACAAGAAUCGUAGUUACCCACCGAAACCUGAACUGACUGAUAGACAGAAGGGAAAUAAUGGAGGUGGAUUCAACCUGGGCUCAGUCUGCCAAGCUCAAGCUUCAGGAACAUGCCUGGUUCUGAAGUUUAACAUGCUUGAUGAAAAGAGAAACGCUCAUGUAGCAAGUAUGGGAUGUUCCAGUGGCAUUUUUACAGUUACUUCAGCCAAGUAGUGGCAUUUAACUGAAAUAUGCAUUCUUUCUACAUCGCUGCUAAGUGGUAGGGGUCAGGGCCAUAGUUCUGGUCUCUGUUGUGAACCUGCACGUGGCUCACAGAUACUACACGUGCUGUGUCUGAGAGUAUCUGAUGUUCUGACAUGCAAAAUGGUGUUUACUGGUACAAGAGCAAGGGCAAGUGCCCAGGAAGUGAGUGGCUGCAGGCAUUUCUAGUGCCUACUGAAUCAUAUUUAAACCAAAUAGAGGGGAGGAAGUUAUUUGAAACUCUUAACCAACUGUACUAUCUGUAUGGUGUGUUAUUAAUGUAGCUUUUUGAAGUGAAAGCCUUGAAAUGACAUAACUUAAUACUUGAAAAAUAUAUUGUAAAUGUUUCUUUGUAAUUAUGUGCCAUCCAGAUAAGAAUACAAGCUCAUAAUAAAAUCAGACUUGUUGAUCUUUAAACGUA